rnacentral:rRNA from 1 species
GACGAACGCUGGCGGCGUGCUUAACACAUGCAAGUCGAACGGAAAGGCCCUGCUUUUGUGGGGUGCUCGAGUGGCGAACGGGUGAGUAACACGUGAGUAACCUGCCCUUGACUUUGGGAUAACUUCAGGAAACUGGGGCUAAUACCGGAUAGGAGCUCCUGCUGCAUGGUGGGGGUUGGAAAGUUUCGGCGGUUGGGGAUGGACUCGCGGCUUAUCAGCUUGUUGGUGGGGUAGUGGCUUACCAAGGCUUUGACGGGUAGCCGGCCUGAGAGGGUGAACGGCCACAUUGGGACUGAGGUACGGCGCAGACUCCAACGGGAGGCAGCAGGGGGGAAUAUUGCACAAUGGGCGGAAGCCUGAUGCAGCAACGCCGCGUGCGGGAUGACGGCCUUCGGGUUGUAAACCGCUUUCGCCUGUGACGAAGCGUGAGUGACGGUAACGGGUAAAGAAGCACCGGCUAACUACGUG